rnacentral:rRNA from 1 species
GACGUAGGGGACGAGCGUUGUCCGGAUUCAUUGGGCGUAAAGAGCGCGUAGGCGGCCGUGCAAGUCGGAUGUGAAAAUCCGGGGCUCAACCCCGGACGUGCAUCCGAUACUGCUCGGCUAGAGGUAGGUAGGGGAGAUCGGAAUUCCUGGUGUAGCGGUGAAAUGCGUAGAUAUCCGGAGGAACACCGGUGGCGAAGGCGGCUUCCUGGACCGACACUGACGCUGAGGCGCGAAAGCUAGGGGAGCAAACGGG